rnacentral:rRNA from 1 species
GACGAACGCUGGCGGCGUGCUUAACACAUGCAAGUCGAGCGGACCUUCGGGUCAGCGGCGAACGGGUGAGUAACACGUGGGCAACCUGCCCCAGGCUCUGGAAUAACUCCGGGAAACCGGGGCUAAUGCCGGAUAUUCACACCUUUGGGCAUCUGGUGGUGUGGAAAGAUUUAUUGGCUUGGGAUGGGCCCGCGGCCUAUCAGCUUGUUGGUGGGGUAAUGGCCUACCAAGGCGACGACGGGUAGCCGGCCUGAGAGGGCGAUCGGCCACACUGGGACUGAGACACGGCCCAGACUCCUACGGGAGGCAGCAGUGGGGAAUAUUGCGCAAUGGGCGAAAGCCUGACGCAGCGACGCCGCGUGAGGGAUGACGGCCUUCGGGUUGUAAACCUCUUUCAGCAGGGACGAAGCGCAAGUGACGGUACCUGCAGAAGAAGCACCGGCCAACUACGUGCCAGCAGCCGCAGUAACAC